ensembl:misc_RNA Metazoa_SRP Metazoan signal recognition particle RNA
GCUGGGCGUAGUGGUGCAUGCCUGUAGUCCUGGCUUCUUGGGAGGCUGAGGCUGGGGGUAUCACUUGAGCCCAGGAGUUCUCAACUAUAGUGCGCUAUGCUGAUUGGGUGUCUGCACUAAGUUAGGCAUCAUGUGAUGAACUCCCAGGAGCCGGGGGCCAACCAAGUUUCCUAAGGAGAAGUGAACCAGUUCAGGUCGGAAACAGAGCAGGUCAGAACUCCCAUGCUGAUCAGUAGUGGAAUCACACGUGAAUAGCCUCAGCACUCCCACCUGGGCAACAAAGUGAGACCUUGUCUCAA